CCUACGGGAGGCAGCAGUAGGGAAUCUUCCACAAUGGACGAAAGUCUGAUGGAGCAACGCCGCGUGAGUGAAGAAGGGUUUCGGCUCGUAAAGCUCUGUUGGUAGUGAAGAAAGAUAGAGGUAGUAACUGGCCUUUAUUUGACGGUAAUUACUCAGAUAGUCUAGGCUAACUACGUGCCAGCAGCCGCGGUAAUACGUAGGUGGCAAGCGUUGUCCGGUUUUAUUGGGCGUAAAGCGAGUGCAGGCGGUUAGAUAAGUCUGAUGUGAAAGCCAUCGGCUCAACCGGUGAAUUGCAUCGGAAACUGUUGAACUAGAGUGCAGGAGAGGAGAGUGGAACUCCAUGUGUAGCGGUGAAAUGCGUAGAUAUAUGGAAGAACACCAGUGGCGAAGGCGGCUCACUGGUCUGCAACUGACGCUGAGGCUCGAAAGCGUGGGUAGCGAACAGGAUUAGAUACCCCUGUAGUC
rnacentral:rRNA from 1 species